AUGUUGCUCAGCUGUUUGCCGGUCGUCGUCCUCCUCCUCCUGGCAACUGCCUCCGAAGGAACGACAGAGUACAAUGCCGCCACCACCACCGAUGUGGGAUUAACCAAUGAGACAUCCACCACUGCUGCAGCCUAUUCCACGGCUGUAGAAGCGACCAGCGACAAUGGAACCAGCGGUUUUACAACUUCACUUCCACUGACUACAGAGCAGCUCACAGCUUCAGCAACAACCGUAGGAAACGCCACAACAGAAUCUGCAACUGUGGAAUCAAACGUCACCAGUGCACAGACGACUCUCUCCCAUCCGAACAACAGCACCGGGACUACCACAGAAACCGUCAGCGGCAACGCAACUGACAAUAACUUCACCACUUGGAGCCCAACGCAAUCUGCGUCAUCUCCGUCCAAUGCCACAGUGCUGUCCACUACCAGCGCAGAGACCAGCGCCACCAACACGAGUGAGACGACAAGUACAACAACUGCACCUUCUUCAGCUCACACACUGACCAGCAAUGGCACAACAAUGUCUACACAAGUCACACACACAAGCAACAACACCACUAUGACUACACCAAGCAACAACACCACUAUGACUACACCAGGCAACAACACCACUAUGACUACACCAAGCAACAACACCACAAUGACUACAUCAAGCAACAACACAACAAUGACUACAUCAAGCAACAACAUCACUAUGACUACACCAAGCAACAACACGACAAUGACUACACCAAGCAACAACAUCACUAUGACUACACCAAGCAACAACAUCACUAUGACUACACCAAGCAACAACACGACAAUGACUACACCAGGCAAUAACACCACUAUGACUACACCAGGCAAUAACACCACUAUGACUACACCAGGCAAUAACACCACUAUGACUACACCAAGCAACAACACCACUAUGACUACACCAAGCAACAACAUCACUUUGACUACACCAAGCAACAACACGACAAUGACUACACCAAGCAACAACACGACAAUGACUACACCAAGCAACAACACAACAAUGACUACACCAAGCAACAACACGACAAUGACUACACCAAGCAACAACAUCACUAUGACUACACCAAGCAACAACAUCACUAUGACUACACCAAGCAACAACAUGACAAUGACUACACCAAGCAACAACACAACAAUGACUACAUCAAGCAACUACACAACAAUGACUACACCAGGCAACAAUGCCACUAUGACUACACCGAGCAACAACACCACUAUGACUACACCAAGCAACAACACCACUAUGACUACACCAGGCAACAACAAUGCCACAAUGACUACACCAGGCAACAACAACAUCACUAUGACUACACCAAGCAACAACAACACAACGACUACACCAAGUAACAACACGACGACUACACCAAGCAACAACACAACGACUACACCAAGCAACAACAUAACGACUACACCAAGCAACAACAUAACAAUGACUACACCCGCCACACAAACGACCAACAACACAACCCCAUUUACAGCCACAACACAAACCAGCAACAGCACAACAACCACACGUCCAGUAACACCAGACAACUCCACAUCUGUAGUUACCACCACUACGCCCACAAACUCCACUCUCACCUCCCCUGAGACCCCCCAACCUCGUCCUCCACCAUCAGCAGCAAUGCAACAGUCGGACCCCCACCCACUACACCUACUUUCAACUCCACCUCCGUCCCUCCAAACACCUCCCCCGGCAGUAGCGCCGCAACCCCCACCGGAAACACCACCACCCUUAGUCCCUCAGCAACAACCACCGGAGUCACCACGAGUUCAACUGAACCAGGCAAUGCCACCACAGCCUCAUCCACCACCGCCGCCGUCACCACCACCACCAACACCGUCACCAACUCCACCACGGCAGCUCCGCCCAUCAUCCCCACCCUGAGCCCAGUCAUCGAGUGCUCCUCCUGCCCACUGGACAGCGUUUGUCUCGACGGCACGUGCCAGUGUCUCACCGGCAGCUUCCUGCUGGACGGCCGCUGCGUCCCCG
rnacentral:lncRNA from 1 species